UACGGGGGGUGCAAGCGUUGUUCGGAAUCAUUGGGCGUAAAGCGCGUGUAGGCGGCUUGGUAAGUCAGGUGUGAAAGCCCUGGGCUCAACCCAGGAAGUGCACUUGAUACUGCCUUGCUUGAGUACGGGAGAGGAAAGCGGAAUUCCUGGUGUAGAGGUGAAAUUCGUAGAUAUCAGGAGGAACACCGGUGGCGAAGGCGGCUUUCUGGCCCAAUACUGACGCUGAGACGCGAAAGCGUGGGGAGCAAAC
rnacentral:rRNA from 2 species